CUACUACCCCCUCUGGCAGCACAUAUACUUAAAUGGGAAGAAUACAGAGAAAAUUACCAUGGCCUGUGAAUAAGGACAACAUAAAAAGUCAAGAUGUGCUUCAUAUUUUC